AGAUUUCCAAAUUCUGGCCAAAUUGCUCCAGUGAAAAAGUUGUUACCUAGUUCCAGUGUCGGGGGGAAGCUAAAAAUCUGAUUAUACUGCAAACCUUUAACACUUACAUUUCUUUUCAAGAAAAAGGGAAAAUCUGGUGAUGGUUCAUUCAUCCAAAUAGGGCCAGAGAUUAGGCUUUGCAAUCCAGUAAUUUCUUUUGGAAUCUCCCCUGUUAAUGAAUUGUUUGACAAAUCCAUAUAGAAUAGAAACUUGAAAUCUCCAAUCCAGGGUGGAAGUGUUCCCAUCAAACGGUUCCACGACAAAUCCAACAGUUGCAGCUUUGAGAUAUUUCUUAACCACUGAGGAACCGUUCCGGUGAGCCUGCAAUUGGCAAUAAUGAGAGCUUUCAGCUCUCUGAACUGCAGGUUAGGAUCUGUAGGCAACUCUUCAUCGCGAAAGUUCAAAGUAAGGACCAAAGUAGUUAAGUUCUUGCAGUUCUGUAAAAUCCUAAGAGCAGCAUCAAUGUUAUGGAUACUGUUGUUCGAGACUGAAAAGGACGAAAGGCUAUGAAAAUUCUUGAAACUUUCAGGAAUUUGUCCAACGAAAUUGUUUCUAGCAAGAUUGAUAGUUUGCAACUUGGGACAGUUAGGAAGAUUAUCAGGAACUGACCCUAUGAAACCAUUUGUAGCCAGAUCAAGAGAAACAAGACUAAACAUGGCCGAACAAUUAAGCUCAAUGGUACCCCCUAAAGAAUUAUUCCUCAAACUAAGAGAACUAAUAGUCCCAGAAUUUGCCAAUGAAGGAGGUAUUUUACCAAAAAACCUAUUUGAAUGAGCUGAGAAAUAAGUUACAUUCCUUAAGCUAUGAAACACAUCUGGUAUGUUUCCUGAGAAUCCAUUUGAACAAAUAUCCAAAUGAACCAAGUUAGAAAGGUUACCAAUCUGGCUGCUAAGCUGCCCGUCGAACCGAUUCUCUUGAAGAGACAAUACAGUCAAUCUUGAAAGCUUAAACAGUUCAACAGGUAAACUACCAGAAAGAAGGUUAGAGCCAAGGCAAAGAUGUUCCAAUGAACCACAACUCCCAAUUCCUGUUGGAAGACUGCCAUUAAAAUAAUUGAACCCCAUUUUAAUAACAGAAACUCUUGUUGAGUUUUUACAUAUACCCAAAGGAACUGACCCUUCAAAGGAAUUAUCAGAUAUAUUGAAAGAUUUGAGUGAAGGCAAGUUAAUGCUAUCAGGAAACAAGCCAAAGAAAUCAUUGUUGCUCAAGUCUAAGACCUCCAAAUUAGGCAAAUGCAUUAUUUUAAAGGGGACAGAACCUUUAAGGAAAUUGUGAGACAUAUUAAGGGUUCUAAGCUGAUCCAAAUUACCUAAAGAUUCAGAAAGUUUCCCAUUUAGCCUCCUUUUUCCAAGUUCCAAUUUCACCACCCUCCCCAUAUUAGGAGAGGAUGAGGAAUUACAAGUAAUACCCACCCAAUUACAGCAAUUUGUUGAAUUUCUAAUAUCCCAAAAAUCAAAAACUGUUUCCAAACUGUUCACAAAAUCCUCCAAAGCUUUGAAAUCAUUUGGAUUACAUGUAAAGUUUGGAUUUUGGGACUGAGCUUGUAAAGAAAGUCCUAAAAAGAAAAAGAUUAUACCAAGUUGCAACAUAUUGAAACUACACAUUUUUUGCAUCAAGAUGUCUCAUUUCUCAGCAACAAGAAUCAAGAAUCAAGAUCAAAGAACAUAUAACUGCUAAAUAUUGCAAAAGAAAGAGUAAAUGGACAAGAAAGAAGAAAAAGGGUACUUCACAAAAGUGAUGAAUGAGAAUAAAAAGCAAAGCUUUGAGGCAGAAGGAAGAGGGGAAAAAAAGGAAAGUGGAGGUAGAAAAAUGUGUAAAUAGAAAGAAGAAGAACAGGGAUUUUUUUGUUUUGUUUGUUUUUGCUUUAUAUUCAGACUUCAAACGCUCUUUACUGGUCCAAAUAGGGCUGCUGCUGCUGCUAUUUGCUAUUGUUCCAUUCUAUCCCACUUAAGGGACUUUGCACUUUUUUUUUGAGAGAGAGAGAGAGAGAAAGCUGUUUGCAAUUG
rnacentral:lncRNA from 1 species